ACACUGGUGGUGAAACGGUAUCAUGCUUGCCUUCCAACAAACCAGUCGAAAGCAAGCGGCAGGGGUUCGACUCCCUUUCAGUGUA